GAGACAUAGUAACUUCGUAAUGAGUUCUGCUUCUCCGUGCGUCAGGAAGAAAAUACACUAUCGAGAUAUGGAAAGUGGUUUCGUUGGAUGUUGGACAAGAUGGAGGUAAUUCUGAGGAAUCUCCAUCUUGAAAAUUCAGCAUCUUCCAACGCGUUUUAUUUAAUCCUUUGCUGAAAUGACGGCCGAACCAAUCGAAGGGCUCCCAAACCAUCACGUGAGAGAGCAAUUGGCGGGAAAUGCUUUUCCUCACGCAAACCAAGUGAAGAACACAUUUUUCUUUUUCAUCUAUUUCAUGCAACGGGGGUUGUAUCAUAAGUGCUUCUUAUUGUUUUUGUUUUGAAGAAAAAUGAGAUUUUUACCGCUUUUGCAUCAUUUUUUAAAAAAAAUUUCCCGCGGAGGAAAUACGCUAUUUUGGAAAUAGUUAAGAUUUUUUAUUUUUUAAAAACUAAAGACGGAAUAAGAAUGAUAUUUUCGAUUCAUACAAGGAAUCGUUUAUGAUUUCCAUAAAAUUUUAACUGAUAAAACGAAACAUGAAUGAUAAAAGUUUACGUUUGUAGAUUUAAUAAAAAUGGAUAUUAUGAAA